AGUGAGUGGCGAACGGGUGAGUAACACGUGGGUAACCUGCCCAGAAGUAGGGGAUAACACCUGGAAACAGAUGCUAAUACCGUAUAACAGAGAAAACCGCAUGGUUUUCUUUUAAAAGAUGGCUCUGCUAUCACUUCUGGAUGGACCCGCGGCGUAUUAGCUAGUUGGUGAGGUAAAGGCUCACCAAGGCAGUGAUACGUAGCCGACCUGAGAGGGUAAUCGGCCACAUUGGGACUGAGACACGGCCCAGACUCCUACGGGAGGCAGCAGUAGGGAAUCUUCCACAAUGGACGCAAGUCUGAUGGAGCAACGCCGCGUGAGUGAAGAAGGGUUUCGGCUCGUAAAGCUCUGUUGUUAAAGAAGAACGUGGGUAAGAGUAACUGUUUACCCAGUGACGGUAUUUAACCAGAAAGCCACGGCUAACUACGU
rnacentral:rRNA from 1 species